AAAGUACUCCCUCCGUCCCAAAAAUUUUGUCUUAGAUUUGUCUAGAUACGGAUGUAUCAAGUCACAUUUUAGUAUUAGAUACAUCCGUAUCUAGACAAAUCUAAGACAAGAAAUUUGGGACAGAGGGAGUAGUUG
rnacentral:pre_miRNA from 1 species